rnacentral:ncRNA from 1 species
AAAGCCCUGUUGAUGCGAAAUCUUACGUUUCACGUGAGAUACUAAUUUAGCUGAGACGGGGCUUU